AUUCUUUUCGAAUAAUGUGAGACAAGGUUUCCUGUCAGUUUAAUGAGUCGGUUGCUGAUUUGCUGAUAUGUCUUCAAGCCAUUUCCUACUUACACAGCUGGAUGUGCUACAUUUCUCUGUGCAUGUGUUUGUGAAGCUCAGGGUGGUUUGGAGGUACGUCAAGAGAGAAGAAGGAGGAAUGCAAGGAAGAAGAAGGUGUCAGGCACUUUAUGCCCCUCCCCCCAUCCAAGGUAAGCAGAUUCACACUUUCUGUUUUACCACUGAGAUUUGUU
rnacentral:lncRNA from 1 species